CGGCCGCCGGGCCAGGGUUAGGUGCACGCGUGGGCGCCGCGAGCCGAGCUGGGGUGGUGGGGCGCUCAGGCGCGGCCGGCCGGCCCAGCCCUGCGCGCCGCCAUGUUGGCCUGCUCCUCCUCUUCGCGGGGCCGCGCCUCCGCUCCCGGAAGCAGCACAAGCGGCGCUCGGGCGGCCGUACCCGGGCACGGGCUGCUCUGAGAGGUUUCUGAGGUCCCUUCAUCCCGUUCAUAGACAAACCUGCUCGGAGAAUGAGAGUUUAUAUCCACUCCUCCAUGCAGCAGCCAGAAAGGAAAAGGCUUGCUUCUCUGGGGAGGGCUUGUGAUAGCCCAGCAAGCCUAGCCCCAGCCACUCACAUCCGUCCCUGGCAUGGUGAUCCUGAGUGAUGUGAAAGUCUUAUGCCAGUAUCAUCUCCGGUUACACAGUAAAUUG
rnacentral:lncRNA from 1 species